GGGACAUUGAGGGGGACACGGAGGUGGCACCGGGGGUGACACCGGGGUGUCCCCAGGCCCGGUGCGGUUCCGGUGUCCCCCGGAGUUCGAGGCGGUGACACCGGGGGUGACACCGGGGGUGACACCGGGGGUGACACUGGUCUGGGUCUGUCC